CCUUUGCGCAACCGCGCCGGUGCCCGCGAGGGCAUAAUAGGGAAUAUGGUGAGGCCGUCCGUUCGCGGCAGGCCAAAGCCAUGGCUGUCCCUGCAACUGUAAGCGGCGAGUGCGAUGCACCGACCCGGUCCCCGACCGGGUCUGCCACUGGGGCGACCUGGGAAGGCGUGCAUCAAGCGACGACCCGCGAGCCAGGAGACCUGCCGGCGCGGGUCGCUCAAU
rnacentral:ncRNA from 1 species